GUCGCAAUGGACGAAAGUCUGACGCAGCAACGCCGCGUGAGGGAUGAAGGCCGUUCGGGUUGUAAACCUCUUUAUCAGGGAAGAUGAUGACGGUACCUGAUGAAUAAGUCACGGCUAACUACGUGCCAGCAGCCGCGGUAAUACGUAGGUGACAAGCGUUGUCCGGAUUACUGGGCGUAAAGAGCGCGCAGGCGGUCGUUCAAGUCGAGUGUGAAAGCCCCCGGCUCAACUGGGGAGGGUCAUUCGAUACUGAUCGACUCGAAGGCAGGAGAGGGUAGUGGAAUUCCCGGUGUAGUGGUGAAAUGCGUAGAUAUCGGGAGGAACACCAGUGGCGAAGGCGACUACCUGGCCUGUUCUUGACGCUGAGGCGCGAAAGCUAGGGGAGCAAACGGGAUUAGAUACCCCGGUAGUCCUAGCCGUAAACGAUGGACACUAGGUGUUGGUGGUAUCAACCCCGCCAGUGCCGAAGCUAACGCAUUAAGUGUCCCGCCUGGGGAGUACGGCCGCAAGGCUA
rnacentral:rRNA from 1 species